rnacentral:rRNA from 1 species
UGGGGAAUAUUGGACAAUGGGGGGAACCCUGAUCCAGCCAUGCCGCGUGUGUGAAGAAGGCCUUAUGGUUGUAAAGCACUUUAAGCGAGGAGGAGGGUACUGGUAUUAAUACUACCAGGUACUGGACGUUACUCGCAGAAUAAGCACCGGCUAACUCUGUGCCAGCAGCCGCGGUAAUACAGAGGGUGCGAGCGUUAAUCGGAUUUACUGGGCGUAAAGCGUGCGUAGGCGGCUAAUUGAGUCGGAUGUGAAAUCCCCGAGCUUACCGUGGGAAUUGCAUUCGAUACUGGUUAGCUAGAGUGUGGGAGAGGAUGGUAGAAUUCCAGGUGUAGCGGUGAAAUGCGUAGGGAUCUGGAGGAAUACCGAUGGCGAAAGCAGCCAUCUGGCCUAACACUGACGCUGAGGUACGAAAGCAUGGGGAGCAAACAGG